rnacentral:rRNA from 1 species
UACGAGUGCUUCAAGCGUUAUCCGGAAUCAUUGGGCGUAAAGGGUGUGUAGGUGGUGUUAUUAGUCUCCUGUAAAAUUUUCCGGCUCAACCGGAAGCUCGCGGGGGAAACGGUAACACUAGAGGACGGGAGAGGUUUCUGGAACUCAUGGUGUAGCGGUGAAAUGCGUUGAUAUCAUGGGGAACACCAAAAGCGAAGGCAAGAAACUGGCCCGCUCCUGACACUGAAACACGAAAGCGUGGGUCGCGAAUGGG